rnacentral:rRNA from 1 species
ACCCGCUGAACUUAAGCAUAUCAAUAAGCGGAGGAAAAGAAACCAACAGGGAUUGCCCCAGUAACGGCGAGUGAAGCGGCAACAGCUCAAAUUUGAAAUCUGGCUUCGGCCCGAGUUGUAAUUUGUAGAGGAUGCUUUUGGUGAGGUGCCUUCUGAGUUCCCUGGAACGGGACGCCAGAGAGGGUGAGAGCCCCGUAUAGUCGGCCACCGAUCCUUUGUAAAGCUCCUUCGACGAGUCGAGUAGUUUGGGAAUGCUGCUCAAAAUGGGAGGUAUAUCUCUUCUAAAGCUAAAUAUUGGCCAGAGACCGAUAGCGCACAAGUAGAGUGAUCGAAAGAUGAAAAGCACUUUGAAAAGAGGGUUAAAUAGUACGUGAAAUUGUUGAAAGGGAAGCGCUUGUGACCAGACUUGUGCCGGGCUGAUCAUCCAGUGUUCUCACUGGUGCACUCUGCCCGGCUCAGGCCAGCGUCGGUUCUCGCAGGUGGACAAAAGCUUCGGGAACGUGGCCCCUCCGGGGGUGUUAUAGCCCGUUGCUCAAUACACUUGUGGGGACCGAGGUUCGCGCUCUGCAAGGACGCUGGCAUAAUGGUCAUCAGCGGCCCGUCUUGAAACACGG